UACGUGAGCCCCGAGCAUUAUCCGGAAUUAUUGGGCGUAAAGGGUUCGUAGGUGGUUUAAUUAGUCUCCUGUCAAAGCACCGGGCUUAACCCGGGACAGGCAGGAGAAACGGUUAAACUAGAGAAAUUGAGGGGUGUGUGGAACUCAUGGUGUAGGGGUGAAAUCCGUUGAUAUCAUGGGGAACACCAAAAGCGAAGGCAACACACUGGCAAUUUUCUGACACUGAGGGACGAAACCCAGGGUAGCGAAGGGG
rnacentral:rRNA from 1 species